UUGAACGCUGGCGGCAUGCUUUACACAUGCAAGUCGAACGGCAGCGCGGGCUUCGGCCUGGCGGCGAGUGGCGAACGGGUGAGUAAUGCAUCGGAACGUGCCCAGUCGUGGGGGAUAGCCCGGCGAAAGCCGGAUUAAUACCGCAUACGACCUGAGGGUGAAAGCGGGGGGCCGAAAGGCCUCGCGCUAUUGGAGCGGCCGAUGUCGGAUUAGCUAGUUGGUGGGGUAAAGGCUUACCAAGGCGACGAUCCGUAGCUGGUCUGAGAGGACGACCAGCCACACUGGGACUGAGACACGGCCCAGACUCCUACGGGAGGCAGCAGUGGGGAAUUUUGGACAAUGGGGGCAACCCUGAUCCAGCCAUGCCGCGUGCGGGAAGAAGGCCUUCGGGUUGUAAACCGCUUUUGUUCGGGAAGAAAUCCUCUGGGCUAAUACCCCGGGGGGAUGACGGUACCGGAAGAAUAAGCACUGGCUAACUACGUG
rnacentral:rRNA from 1 species